GAUGAACGCUAGCGGCAGGCUUAACACAUGCAAGUCGAGGGGUAGAGGUUGCUUGCAACCUUGAGACCGGCGCACGGGUGCGUAACGCGUAUGCAACCUACCUUUUACAGAGGGAUAGCCCAGAGAAAUUUGGAUUAAUACCUCAUAGUAUAUAACCUUCGCAUGUUGGUUAUAUUAAAGUUCCAACGGUAAAAGAUGGGCAUGCGUCCUAUUAGCUAGAUGGUAAGGUAACGGCUUACAAUGGCAACGAUAGGUAGGGGUCCUGAGAGGGAGGUCCCCCACGCUGGUACUGAGACACGGACCAGACUCCGACGGGAGGCAGCAGUGAGGAAUAUUGGACAAUGGGCGCAAGCCUGAUCCAGCCAUGCCGCGUGCAGGAUGACGGCCCUCUGGGUUGUAAACUGCUUUUAUACGGGAAGAAAAGUUGCUACGUGUAGCAAAAUCGACGGUACCGUAAGAAUAAGGAUCGGCUAACUCCGUGCCAGCAGCCGCGGUAACAC
rnacentral:rRNA from 1 species